AGAUUGAACGCUGGCGGCAGGCCUAACACAUGCAAGUCGAGCGGUAGAGAGGUGCUUGCAUCUCUUGAGAGCGGCGGACGGGUGAGUAAUGCCUAGGAAUCUGCCUAGUGGUGGGGGAAUAACGUUCGGAAACGGACGCUAAUACCGCAUACGUCCUACGGGAGAAA
rnacentral:rRNA from 1 species